UUUUAUUAAACUUAAUUUUUUUGGCGGUUUAUUAUCCUUUCAUAGGAACUUGUUAAUUUUAAUUGAUAACCCACUUUUAUUAUUACCUUUUAUAAUUUUAUGUACGGCUGUUUUUAGUAUUAAUAUAAUUUUUUUUACUUUAAAAAAAAAUUUUUUUUUUAUUUCAGGUCAAUGUGUAGACUAUUAAAAGGUUUUUAAUGAGUUACGUUAAUAGGAUAACUUUUUUAAAUUUUUUAAAAUUGGAUAUGAUAGUAAAUUAAAAUUAAAAAUUUUAAUUGAUGAAGGACCUAAUAAAAGUACAUAUCGCCCGUCACUCUUUUGAUAG
rnacentral:rRNA from 1 species